rnacentral:rRNA from 1 species
UCAAGCUAAUAAGAGCACAGGGUGGAUGCCCAGGCACCAAACGCCGACGAAAGACGUGGCAAGCUGCGAAAAGUCACGGGGAACCGCAAGCAGGUAUUGAUCCGUGAACGUCUGAAUGGGGAAACCCGGCGGGUUAACAGCCCGUCACUAUUAACUGAAUCAAUAGGUUAAUAGAGGGAACGCGGGGAACUGAAACAUCUCAGUACCCGUAGGAAGAGAAAAUAAAGAAUGAUUUCCUAAGUAGCGGCGAGCGAACGGGAAAGAGGCCAAACCGAAGGGCUUGCUCUUCGGGGUUGUGGAUCAGCAAAAAGGACGGAAGACCUUAGCAGAAGAGGAUUGGAAAGUCCCGCCAGAGAGGGUAAAAGCCCCUUACGCGAAAAGGUCGAACGACGAGCUGACACCAGAGUACCGCAGGACACGAGAAAUCCGGUGGGAAGCCGGGAGGACCACCUCCCAAGCCUAAAUACGAAUUGGUGACCGAUAGCGCAUAGUACCGUGAGGGAAAGGUGAAAAGAACCCCGGGAGGGGAGUGAAAAAGAACCUGAAACCCUGUGUUUACAAGCAGUGAAAGUGCGAGCAAGGCACGAUCACGUACUUUUUGUAGAACGGACCGGCGAGUUACGUUAUGCAGCAAGGUUAAGAACUAAAGGUUCGGAGCCGAAGCGAAAGCGAGUCUGAAUAGGGCGAUAGUUGCAUGACGUAGACCCGAAACCGGGUGACCUAUCCAUGAGCAGGUUGAAGUGGAGGUAAAGCUCCAUGGAGGACCGAACCAGACGUCUGUUGAAAAAGGCGGGGAUGACUUGUGGAUAGGGGAGAAAUUCCAAUCGAACCCGGAGAUAGCUGGUUCUCCUCGAAAUAGCUUUAGGGCUAGCCUCAUGGAUCAUUGGUGGGGGUAGAGCACUGAAUGUGCGCGGGGGCCACAAAGCCUACCAAACGCUAUCAAACUUCGAAUACCAUACAAUGCAGACCAUGGGAGUCAGUCCGCGAGAGAUAAGUUCCGCGGGCAAAAGGGGAACACCCCAGAUCAACCGCUAAGGUCCCCAAGUUCACGUUAAGUGGAGAAGGAUGUGGAAUUGCACAGACAACCAGGAUGUUGGCUCAGAAGCAGCCACACAUUUAAAGAGUGCGUAAUAGCUCACUGGUCGAGUGAUUGUGCGCCGAAGAUGUCCGGGGCUAAACGUGACACCGAAGCGAUGGGUGCAUCUGAAAGGAUGCGCGGUAGAGGAGCAAUGUGCAGAGGCAGAAGCCGUAUCGAGAGGCACGGUGGACACUGCACAAGAGAGAAUGCCGGUAUGAGUAGCGAGAGGCAUGCGAGAAACAUGCCCGUCGAAAGCCCAAGGUUUCCUGGGGAAGGUUCAUCCGCCCAGGGUAAGUCGGGGCCUAAGCCGAGGACGGAAGUCGUAGGCGAUGGACAGCAGGUGUAGAUUCCUGCACUACCGAUGGAAUGAAGCAGUGACACAGAAGGAUAACUCGAGCAGGGUGAUGGUCAACCCUGUGCAAGCAUCGAGGUUGGGUUGUAGUGAAGUACGCAAUCCUACAAGCUGAGGUGUGAUGCGGACCGAAAUUUCAGUAGGGAAGCGAGUGAGUUCACGCUGGCGAGAAAAGCUGCUAGUACAUCCAAAGGUACCCGUACCGGAAACCGACGCAGGUGGGCGAGGAGAGAAUCCUGAGACGAACGGGAGAACCCUUGUUAAGGAACUCGGCAAAAUGACCCCGUAACUUCGGGAUAAGGGGUGCCUGCGAGAGCAGGCCGCAGAGAAUAGUCACAAGCGACUGUUUAGCAAAAACACAGGUAUCUGCGAAAGCGAGAGCUGACGUAUAGGUGCUGACACCUGCCCGGUGCUGGAAGGUUAAGGGAACAUGUUAGAGCAAUCGAAGCAUCGAACCGAAGCCCCAGUAAACGGCGGCCGUAACUAUAACGGUCCUAAGGUAGCGAAAUUCCUUGUCGGGUAAGUUCCGACCCG